GACGAACGCUGGCGGCGUGCUUAACACAUGCAAGUCGAACGGAAAGGCCCUGCUUUUGUGGGGUGCUCGAGUGGCGAACGGGUGAGUAACACGUGAGUAACCUGCCCUUGACUUUGGGAUAACUUCAGGAAACUGGGGCUAAUACCGGAUAGGAGCUCCUGCUGCAUGGUGGGGGUUGGAAAGUUUCGGCGGUUGGGGAUGGACUCGCGGCUUAUCAGCUUGUUGGUGGGGUAGUGGCUUACCAAGGCUUUGACGGGUAGCCGGCCUGAGAGGGUGACCGGCCACAUUGGGACUACGAUACGGCCCAGACUGCUACGGGAGGCAGCAGUGGGGAAUAUUGCACAAUGGGCGGAAGCCUGAUGCAGCGACGCCGCGUGCGGGAUGACGGCCUUCGGGUUGUAAACCGCUUUCGCAUGUGACGAAGCGUGAGUGACGGUAAUGGGUAAAGAAGCACCGGCUAACUACGUG
rnacentral:rRNA from 1 species